rnacentral:rRNA from 14 species
CUCAAUGGACAUACCACCCUGAGCACAUUCGGUCUUGUCUGAACUCAGAAGCAGACCAGAGUCAGGCCUGGUUGGAUGGAAGAAUCCAUCUCAAAAAAUAAGUAGUGUGCCAUUGAGA